rnacentral:rRNA from 1 species
GAAUACAUAGGUUAACGAGGCGAACCGGGGGAACUGAAACAUCUAAGUACCCCGAGGAAAAGAAAUCAACCGAGAUUCCCCCAGUAGCGGCGAGCGAACGGGGAGCAGCCCAGAGUCUGAAUCAGCUUGUGUGUUAGUGGAACGGUCUGGAAAGUCCGACGGUACAGGGUGAUAGUCCCGUACACCAAAAUGCACAGGUUGUGAACUCGAAGAGUAGGGCGGGACACGUGGUAUCCUGUCUGAAUAUGGGGGGACCAUCCUCCAAGGCUAAAUACUCCUGACUGACCGAUAGUGAACCAGUACCGUGAGGGAAAGGCGAAAAGAACCCCGGCGAGGGGAGUGAAAAAGAACCUGAAACCGUGUACGUACAAGCAGUGGGAGCACCUUCGGGUGUGACUGCGUACCUUUUGUAUAAUGGGUCAGCGACUUAUAUUCUGUAGCAAGGUUAACCGUAUAGGGGAGCCGCAGGGAAACCGAGUCUUAACUGGGCGUUAAGUUGCAGGGUAUAGACCCGAAACCCGGUGAUCUAGCCAUGGGCAGGUUGAAGGUUGGGUAACACUAACUGGAGGACCGAACCGACUAAUGUUGAAAAAUUAGCGGAUGACUUGUGGCUGGGGGUGAAAGGCCAAUCAAACCGGGAGAUAGCUGGUUCUCCCCGAAAGCUAUUUAGGUAGCGCCUCGUGAACUCAUCUUCGGGGGUAGAGCACUGUUUCGGCUAGGGGGUCAUCCCGACUUACCAACCCGAUGCAAACUACGAAUACCGAAGAAUGUUAUCACGGGAGACACACGGCGGGUGCUAACGUCCGUCGUGAAGAGGGAAACAACCCAGACCGCCAGCUAAGGUCCCAAAGUCAUGGUUAAGUGGGAAACGAUGUGGGAAGGCACAGACAGCCAGGAUGUUGGCUUAGAAGCAGCCAUCAUUUAAAGAAAGCGUAAUAGCUCACUGGUCGAGUCGGCCUGCGCGGAAGAUGUAACGGGGCUAAACCAUGCACCGAAGCUGCGGCAGCGACACUAUGUGUUGUUGGGUAGGGGAGCGUUCUGUAAGCCUGCGAAGGUGUGCUGUGAGGCAUGCUGGAGGUAUCAGAAGUGCGAAUGCUGACAUAAGUAACGAUAAAGCGGGUGAAAAGCCCGCUCGCCGGAAGACCAAGGGUUCCUGUCCAACGUUAAUCGGGGCAGGGUGAGUCGACCCCUAAGGCGAGGCCGAAAGGCGUAGUCGAUGGGAAACAGGUUAAUAUUCCUGUACUUGGUGUUACUGCGAAGGGGGGACGGAGAAGGCUAUGUUAGCCGGGCGACGGUUGUCCCGGUUUAAGCAUGUAGGCUGGUUAUCCAGGCAAAUCCGGAUAAUCAAGGCUGAGGUGUGAUGACGAGGCACUACGGUGCUGAAGUAACAAAUGCCCUGCUUCCAGGAAAAGCCUCUAAGCAUCAGGUAACAUCAAAUCGUACCCCAAACCGACACAGGUGGUCAGGUAGAGAAUACCAAGGCGCUUGAGAGAACUCGGGUGAAGGAACUAGGCAAAAUGGUGCCGUAACUUCGGGAGAAGGCACGCUGGUGUGUAGGUGAAGUCCCUGCGGAUGGAGCUGAGACCAGUCGAAGAUACCAGCUGGCUGCAACUGUUUAUUAAAAACACAGCACUGUGCAAACACGAAAGUGGACGUAUACGGUGUGACGCCUGCCCGGUGCCGGAAGGUUAAUUGAUGGGGUUAUCCGUAAGGAGAAGCUCUUGAUCGAAGCCCCGGUAAACGGCGGCCGUAACUAUAACGGUCCUAAGGUAGCGAAAUUCCUUGUCGGGUAAGUUCCGACCUGCACGAAUGGCGUAAUGAUGGCCAGGCUGUCUCCACCCGAGACUCAGUGAAAUUGAACUCGCUGUGAAGAUGCAGUGUACCCGCGGCAAGACGGAAAGACCCCGUGAACCUUUACUAUAGCUUGACACUGAACAUUGAGCCUUGAUGUGUAGGAUAGGUGGGAGGCUUUGAAGCGUGGACGCCAGUCUGCGUGGAGCCAACCUUGAAAUACCACCCUUUAAUGUUUGAUGUUCUAACGUUGGCCCCUGACCGGGGUUGCGGACAGUGUCUGGUGGGUAGUUUGACUGGGGCGGUCUCCUCCCAAAGCGUAACGGAGGAGCACGAAGGUUAGCUAAUCCUGGUCGGACAUCAGGAGGUUAGUGCAAUGGCAUAAGCUAGCUUGACUGCGAGCGUGACGGCGCGAGCAGGUGCGAAAGCAGGUCAUAGUGAUCCGGUGGUUCUGAAUGGAAGGGCCAUCGCUCAACGGAUAAAAGGUACUCCGGGGAUAACAGGCUGAUACCGCCCAAGAGUUCAUAUCGACGGCGGUGUUUGGCACCUCGAUGUCGGCUCAUCACAUCCUGGGGCUGAAGUAGGUCCCAAGGGUAUGGCUGUUCGCCAUUUAAAGUGGUACGCGAGCUGGGUUUAGAACGUCGUGAGACAGUUCGGUCCCUAUCUGCCGUGGGCGCUGGAGAAUUGAGGGGGGCUGCUCCUAGUACGAGAGGACCGGAGUGGACGCAUCACUGGUGUUCGGGUUGUCAUGCCAAUGGCACUGCCCGGUAGCUAAAUGCGGAAGAGAUAAGUGCUGAAAGCAUCUAAGCACGAAACUUGCCCCGAGAUGAGUUCUCCCUGAGACU